rnacentral:rRNA from 1 species
GAUGAACGCUGGCGGCGUGCCUAAUACAUGCAAGUCGAGCGAACAGACGAGGAGCUUGCUCCUCUGACGUUAGCGGCGGACGGGUGAGUAACACGUGGAUAACCUACCUAUAAGACUGGGAUAACUUCGGGAAACCGGAGCUAAUACCGGAUAAUAUAUUGAACCGCAUGGUUCAAUAGUGAAAGACGGUUUUGCUGUCACUUAUAGAUGGAUCCGCGCCGCAUUAGCUAGUUGGUAAGGUAACGGCUUACCAAGGCAACGAUGCGUAGCCGACCUGAGAGGGUGAUCGGCCACACUGGAACUGAGACACGGUCCAGACUCCUACGGGAGGCAGCAGUAGGGAAUCUUCCGCAAUGGGCGAAAGCUUGACGGAGCAACGCCGCGUGAGUGAUGAAGGUCUUCGGAUCGUAAAACUCUGUUAUUAGGGAAGAACAAAUGUGUAAGUAACUAUGCACGUCUUGACGGUACCUAUCAGAAAGCCACGGCUAACUACGUG